ACUUUCCCACGGGGGGCAGCAGUGGGGAAUAUUGCACAAUGGGGGGAACCCUGAUGCAGCGACGCCGCGUGAGUGAAGAAGUAUUUCGGUACGUAAAGCUCUAUCAGCAGGGAAGAAAAAAGGACGGUACCUGAGUAAGAAGCCCCGGCUAACUACGUGCCAGCAGCCGCGGUAAUACGUAGGGGGCAAGCGUUAUCCGGAAUUACUGGGUGUAAAGGGAGCGUAGACGGCAAUACAAGUCGGAAGUGAAAUACCCGGGCUCAACCUGGGAACUGCUUUGGAAACUGUAUGGCUGGAGUGCUGGG
rnacentral:rRNA from 1 species